UUUUAGAAAAAUUAUUUUAAUAGAAGACACUUUCUUCAAUACUUAAGUUAUACAUUACAGGAACAUAGUCAAACAAGACUUGAAACAGCAUGCCUUGAGGACUAGCAAAUGUCAACCACAAAGAAUAUAUGUGAUUUUUUUUUUAGGUGAAGAUUUUUCAAACUAAUGAUAAUGUAUGAAUAUGAAAUAAUGGAGAAUGAUUGAAGAGGCUAUGUUUAUGGAUUAAUGGAGAAUGAUUAAGAGGUUAUGUAUCAAUAAACAACAAACUGGUAGCAUUAAAAUUCAUAUAUUUUUCAAUUAAUAUAAAAUUGUACAAAUACAAUUAUGGUUUGCUAGUGCAUCAACCCUUCUGUCAUCCAACAGACUCUCACAAGUUAUAUGAAAUUAUAUGAAAUGCAGGAAAAAACUUUAAAAACAUGACAGUGAACUAAUGAUUAUACCAGGUAUUUCAGUUACAAUCUGGCAAUAUGGCAUUUGCCAAAUAGAGAGACAUAGCUUCAUACAAGACUUAAAAUCUGUCUACAACUACUUAAAGCAAAAGAUCAUUGGCCUAUACUAGGGUUGGACUGGGUAUCAAAAUUGGCCUGGGCAUUUCUAUACCGUUCG